GAAUGAAUCAAUAUUGACUGAAUAUCCAACUUCCAGAACUCACUAGUCUGUUGAAGCAUCACAGCGAUAGGAGGAUAGAAGGAGGAGAAGAAAGAGAAAAGAGAGAGAAGCUGUGACUACAAAGCUUUGGAGGAAGAGCUGGAAGGACUUUGAAAGUGCUGCUGGGAACAGAACUGGAAUGUUCAUAUCUGGCUCCAGUGUUGUCAGCUCCCCUCUCAGUCAGCCAUACCCGGAAGAGGGCGACAUUGUCUGGCUGGCUUCACAGCCCAUCUCUCUGGUGACAGCUCCCAGGGUGCCUACAGCCCUUAGCCACAACACCUUAAGUGGAGGUCAAGGCUGGAAGGCCUUCCCUUAUUUGCUGAUACAUGAAGAUCUUUCUCUCCAGCCUAAUGCAUCACAGGCCAGCAUCAGAAGCACAGACUUGGCCCCUGGCCCUGAGAAGAGAGAUGGGAGGAGAGGAUGGAGGAUGGGGUCCAGGCACUGCUCUGUAGCUGGGGCUCUGAGCUCUACUCUCCAUACCCUCCUUCAGAGGAGACAGGUUUUGUGUGUGUGUGUGUUGUCUAGUUGUUUUAAGAUGAAAGUUCCCAGUUCUCCCUUGCCCGGAAAGUCUCUGGAGCAAGCGUGGAAGGCGAGUGAAGCGGAAGGUGAGUGA
rnacentral:lncRNA from 1 species